GAACAGGAUUAAAAUAUAAAUCUUUCUACAACUGCAAAGACCACUAUAGCCUGUAAACUCAAUAAUAUCUCUGUGGAAAUACAUGUAAAAAUAUCAAUGUCCAUAUAAAAUGAAUAAUAUACCUGACCUGACAUCAAAGUGCAGUGUGAAGGAGAUGUGACCCUAGUAGAUUUCAGGAAAGGGUAUGAAAUCUCCUUUUGUGUUUGUGUGUGUGUUCUGCAGUGCAAAGAUGCCUCGCAAGGAGAGGAUAAAAAACAAAAAAAGAAGGAGCUGCUUGAGUCAGCAAAAGGCAGUGGAUCCCUAUCCAGCUGGUUUAUGAAGAGCACAACAGCUCUUGGUGUGCAGCAGCCUCUGUGAGCAUCUCCCUCUUAUUUUCUUGGAGCAGUCAGCCUUGGCAGUCUCUCAGAUCAACUCUAUUAUUAGCAGCAGCAACAACAACAACAGCAAAGGCAGCAUACUCACUCAAGGAAUUUAGUAAGAUUUUACCAGAACAGGUAUCGCAUUAAUGUAAAAAAUCUGUUGUAUUUGCUGUAAAAUAAAAUUGCUGUAUUUUUUCUGUUUGCUUUGUUUUUGUUUUUAUUAUAUU